rnacentral:rRNA from 1 species
UACCUAUGGGGCAAGCGUUAUCCGGAUUUACUGGGUGUAAAGGGAGCGUAGGCGGCGGGGCAAGCCUGAUGUGAAAGCCCGGGGCUCAACCCCGGGACUGCAUUGGGAACUGCCCUGCUGGAGUGCCGGAGGGGCAGGCGGAAUUCCUAGUGUAGCGGUGAAAUGCGUAGAUAUUAGGAGGAACACCAGUGGCGAAGGCGGCCUGCUGGACGGUGACUGACGCUGAGGCUCGAAAGCGUGGGGAGCAAACAGG